GCCGGAGUCGCUGCCCACUUGCGGCUCCUCGCUGCUGGCCUUCUCCUUCCUGGUCCUUCUAUAAGGUUUUACAGCAGCUUCCGGACCUUGAGAGAGACUAAGCAGUGAAACUGCAGGGACUGAGGCUGGAGAUACCUGAGGGACCUCUGUGUGAGGGACAGGCUCUAAGCCUGCAGAAGUCUUUUGGCCUCCAGCCUGCUUCCCGUUCUUUUUUCUCCAGUCCCCCACUCUCCCACCCACCCCGAACUCUCUGUACUCAGUAUCUCUCAGUCCUUAAUGAAAGGAAAUACAGCAAGAUGAGGACGUUGAAUCAGAAAGCUGCUUUUCGAUUAGACGGAGAAGCCUGUGAAUCAUUGAGUCAACCCCACGGCAGCCAGGAGGUGGGGAUAAGGUCUUGGCUUUAACCAUCACCUACAAGGCCUUAACUUGAGGAUGAGAAAACUAAGGUCCGAAAAACUGAUAGACCCAUGCUAGAAGUGCACGUGUUCUGAUGUUCAGCAGUUAAAGCCUCAAGAGUCUAUGGAUUAGGAUGACCCUCCAAAAAUAGAAGCAACUAUUUCUGGGAAUUUGCAUCUCUGUCUGUUGAGGGUGGCUGCAUGUCAACAGAAUUCUAAGUCUUCUUGACUAAUAGUCUACUUGCAAAUAAUUCAGACCUUCAAUCUGUUAUACCAUUGUCUGUACAAAAUGCAUGUCAGUGUACAAGUAGUCAGUAAUGAUUAAAUUAUUAUAGAAAUGGA